rnacentral:snoRNA from 1 species
UGAUCAUGAUGAUAUCUUAUAAAUCAUCCGCAGUGUAACCUAAGGCCUAACGGCUGAUGACGGAUUGAUUUUCUUCCUUGGAUGUCUGAAUCU